GACGAACGCUGGCGGCGUGCUUAACACAUGCAAGUCGAACGGUGAACCAGAGCUUGCUCUGGGGAUCAGUGGCGAACGGGUGAGUAACACGUGGGCAACCUGCCCCAGACUCUGGGAUAACCCCCGGGAAACCGGAGCUAAUACCGGAUAUGACCACUUCGGACAUCCGAUGGUGGUGGAAAGUUUUUUCGGUCUGGGAUGGGCCCGCGGCCUAUCAGCUAGUUGGUGGGGUAAUGGCCUACCAAGGCGACGACGGGUAGCCGGCCUGAGAGGGCGACCGGCCACACUGGAACUGAGACACGGCCCAGACUCCUACGGGAGGCAGCAGUGGGGAAUUUUGGACAAUGGGCGGAAGCCUGAUCCAGCCAUGCCGCGUGAGUGAAGAAGGCCUGGUUGUAAG
rnacentral:rRNA from 1 species